GAUGAAGAACGCAGCGAAAUGCGAUAAGUAAUGUGAAUUGCAGAAUUCAGUGAAUCAUCGAAUCUUUGAACGCACAUUGCGCCCCCUGGUAUUCCGGGGGGCAUGCCUGUUCGAGCGUCAUUUCACCACUCAAGCCUCGCUUGGUAUUGGGCAACGCGGUCCGCCGCGUGCCUCAAAUCGACCGGCUGGGUCUUCUGUCCCCUAAGCGUUGUGGAAACUAUUCGCUAAAGGGUGUUCGGGAGGCUACGCCGUAAAACAACCCCAUUUCUAAGGUUGACCUCGGAUCAGGUAGGGAUACCCGCUGAGCUUAAGCAUAUCAAUAAGCGGAGGA
rnacentral:misc_RNA from 1 species